UCUAGAGUCUCAUCAGAUCUUCAACCACUUAGCCGCUGGUUUGGAUUACUUGAAGAAUGUAUACGGAUAUGUUGUAGCCUUUUCCAGAAUUUGGCACAUCUGUACGGAUUGAAAUUUGCAGUUGGCGUCUACUAGACAGGGGAAGAUCAGCGUCAGUAUGUUCUUUGAUAGCAUUGAAGUGAACCUUCUUAAUAUCGGCAGCAUUAAAAAAAUCCUUUUUGCAAAGACGUAAGAUGAUCGGCGCUAGUACCUUCUUUGAUAGCAUUGAAGGGAAUCAUCUAACCAUCGGCAGAUUUGCAAAAUUUGGUGGGAGGUGCAACAAGACUGUUUCAAUGGAAGGUGUAGCCCUUUUCGGGAAUUGACCGUACAUUUAAACUGAAUGGACUUUUCAGUUGGCGUCUGCCAGACAGGGGAAUACCAGCGUUCGUAAGUUAUUUGAUAGCGUGGAACUGAACCUUAUAAACACCGGGAGAUUUAUAAAAUUCCUUUUUUCAAAGACAUAAGAUGAUCGGCGCUAGUAUCUUUUUUGAUAGCAUUGAAUGGAAUCAUCUAACUAUCGGCAGAUUUGAAAAAUGGGAUAGGAGAUGCAACAAGGCUGUUUUAGUGGAAGGUGUAGCCGUUUCCGGAACUGCCUUACAUUUAAACUGAAUGGA